GAUGAAGAACGUAGUGAAAUGCGAUAAGUAAUGUGAAUUGCAGAAUUCAGUGAAUCAUCGAAUCUUUGAACGCACAUUGCGCCCCCUGGUAUUCCGGGGGGCAUGCCUGUCCGAGCGUCAUUACAACCCUCAAGCUCAGCUUGGUGUUGGGCCCCGCCGCCCCGGCGGGCCCUAAAGUCAGUGGCGGUGCCGUCCGGCUCCGAGCGUAGUAAUUCUUCUCGCUCUGGAGGUCCGGUCGUGUGCUCGCCAGCAACCCCCAAUUUUUUUCAGGUUGACCUCGGAUCAGGUAGGGAUACCCGCUGAACUUAAGCAUAUCAAUAGCGGAGGA
rnacentral:misc_RNA from 1 species